CCGUAACUAUAACGGUCCUAAGGUAGCGAAAUUCCUUGUCGGGUAAGUUCCGACCCGCACGAAUGGCGUAACGAUGGCCACACUGUCUCCUCCCGAGACUCAGCGAAGUUGAAGUGGUUGUGAAGAUGCAAUCUACCCGCUGCUAGACGGAAAGACCCCGUGAACCUUUACUGUAGCUUUGCAUUGGACUUUGAAGUCACUUGUGUAGGAUAGGUGGGAGGCUUAGAAGCAGGGACGCCAGUCUCUGUGGAGCCGUCCUUGAAAUACCACCCUGGUGGCUUUGAGGUUCUAACCCAGACCCGUUAUCCGGGUCGGGGACCGUGCAUGGUAGGCAGUUUGACUGGGGCGGUCUCCUCCCAAAGAGUAACGGAGGAGUUCGAAGGUUACCUAGGUCCGGUCGGAAAUCGGACUGAUAGUGCAAUGGCAAAAGGUAGCUUAACUGCGAGACCGACAAGUCGAGCAGGUGCGAAAGCAGGACAUAGUGAUCCGGUGGUUCUGUAUGGAAGGGCCAUCGCUCAACGGAUAAAAGGUACUCCGGGGAUAACAGGCUGAUUCCGCCCAAGAGUUCAUAUCGACGGCGGAGUUUGGCACCUCGAUGUCGGCUCAUCACAUCCUGGGGCUGUAGUCGGUCCCAAGGGUAUGGCUGUUCGCCAUUUAAAGUGGUACGUGAGCUGGGUUUAAAACGUCGUGAGACAGUUUGGUCCCUAUCUGCAGUGGGCGUUGGAAGUUUGACGGGGGCUGCUCCUAGUACGAGAGGACCGGAGUGGACGAACCUCUGGUGUACCGGUUGUCACGCCAGUGGCAUCGCCGGGUAGCUAAGUUCGGAAGAGAUAAGCGCUGAAAGCAUCUAAGCGCGAAACUCGCCUGAAGAUGAGACUUCCCUUGCGGUUUAACCGCACUAAAGAGUCGUUCGAGACCAGGACGUUGAUAGGUGGGGUGUAGAAGCGCGGUAACGCGUGAAGCUAACCCAUACUAAUUGCUCGUGAGGCUUGACUCU
rnacentral:rRNA from 1 species